AACGAACGCUGGCGGCAUGCCUAACACAUGCAAGUCGAACGAUGCCUUCGGGCAUAGUGGCGCACGGGUGCGUAACGCGUGGGAAUCUGCCCUUGGCUUCGGAAUAACAGUUAGAAAUGACUGCUAAUACCGGAUGAUGUCCCCCUGAGAGAUCUUGGGGACCAAAGAUUUAUCGGCCAGGGAUGAGCCCGCGUAGGAUUAGGUAGGUGGUGGGGUAAAGGCCUACCAAGCCGACGAUCCUUAGCUGGUCUGAGAGGCUGCUCAGCCACACUGGGACUGAGACACGGACCAGACUCCUACGCGAGGCAGCAGUGGGGAAUAUUGGACAAUGGGGGGAACUCUGAUCCAGCAAUGCCGCGUGAGUGAUGAAGGCCUUAGGGUUGUAAAGCUCUUUUACCAGGGAUGAUAAUGACAGUACCUGGAGAAUAAGCUCCGGCUAACUCCGUG
rnacentral:rRNA from 1 species